GACGAACUGUUCUAACGUUAUUCGGAAUCACUGGGCUUAAAGGGCGCGUAGGCUGUUUGUUAAGCGGGGUCUGAAAUCCCUCGGCUCAACCGCGGAACUGGGCUUCGAACUGGCAGACUAGAGUGAAGUAGGGGUAAGCGGAACUUGCGGUGGAGCGGUGAAAUGCUUUGAUAUCGCAAGGAACACCGGCGGCGAAGGCGGCUUACUGGGCUUCAACUGACGCUUAAGCGCGAAAGCUAGGGUAGCGAACGGGAUUAGAUACCCCGGUAGUCCCUGAGCGGGCUGG
rnacentral:rRNA from 1 species